GAUGAACGCUGGCGGCGUGCCUAAUACAUGCAAGUCGAGCGAACAGACGAGGAGCUUGCUCCUCUGACGUUAGCGGCGGACGGGUGAGUAACACGUGGAUAACCUACCUAUAAGACUGGGAUAACUUCGGGAAACCGGAGCUAAUACCGGAUAAUAUAUUGAACCGCAUGGUUCAAUAGUGAAAGACGGUUUUGCUGUCACUUAUAGAUGGAUCCGCGCCGCAUUAGCUAGUUGGUAAGGUAACGGCUUACCAAGGCAGCGAUGCGUAGCCGACCUGAGAGGGUGAUCGGCCACACUGGAACUGAGACACGGUCCAGACUCCUACGGGAGGCAGCAGUAGGGAAUCUUCUGCAAUGGGCGAAAGCCUGACGGAGCAACGCCGCGUGAGUGAUGAAGGUCUUCGGAUCGUAAAACUCUGUUAUUAGGGAAGAACAAAUGUGUAAGUAACUAUGCACGUCUUGACGGUACCUAAUCAGAAAGCCACGGCUAACUACGUG
rnacentral:rRNA from 1 species